rnacentral:rRNA from 1 species
AUUGAACGCUGGCGGAAUGCUUUACACAUGCAAGUCGAACGGCAGCACGGGGCAACCUGGUGGCGAGUGGCGAACGGGUGAGUAAUACAUCGGAACGUGCCCAAUCGUGGGGGAUAACGUAGCGAAAGUUACGCUAAUACCGCAUACGAUCUACGGAUGAAAGCGGGGGAUCGCAAGACCUCGCGCGAAUGGAGCGGCCGAUGUCAGAUUAGGUAGUUGGUGGGGUAAAGGCUCACCAAGCCGACGAUCUGUAGCUGGUCUGAGAGGACGACCAGCCACACUGGGACUGAGACACGGCCCAGACUCCUACGGGAGGCAGCAGUGGGGAAUUUUGGACAAUGGGCGCAAGCCUGAUCCAGCCAUUCCGCGUGCAGGAUGAAGGCCUUCGGUUGUAACUAGCUUUGUACGGUAACGAAACGGUAGAGCUCUAAUACAGUUUGCUAAUGACGGUACCGUAAGAAUAAG